GCUGGCGGACAUGCCUUACACAUGCAAGUCGAACGGCAGCGCGGGAGCAAUCCUGGCGGCGAGUGGCGAACGGGUGAGUAAUAUAUCGGAACGUGCCCAGUCGUGGGGGAUAGCCCGGCGAAAGCCGGAUUAAUACCGCAUACGACCUGAGGGUGAAAGCGGGGGAUCGCAAGACCUCGCGCUACUGGAGCGGCCGAUAUCAGAUUAGCUAGUUGGUGGGGUAAAGGCCUACCAAGGCAACGAUCUGUAGUUGGUCUGAGAGGACGACCAGCCACACUGGGACUGAGACACGGCCCAGACUCCUACGGGAGGCAGCAGUGGGGAAUUUUGGACAAUGGGCGCAAGCCUGAUCCAGCAAUGCCGCGUGCAGGAAGAAGGCCUUCGGGUUGUAAACUGCUUUUGUCAGGGAAGAAAUCUUCUGGGCUAAUACCCCGGGAGGAUGACGGUACCUGAAGA
rnacentral:rRNA from 1 species